GUGCACGCACCCACCAGAAGUAGUUGUCUCUAUGAAUGAGAAUUAUGGUACUUAUGGUCAAAAAAGGAAGUAAAACUUACUUUCCUGUAUAUUAAUUUUAUUGUAUGACAUGUUCAUCAUUUGCAUGCCCAAUAUACUCCUGCCUCACACACACAGUGACUCUUGAGUCUCUCUGAGGUCCAUUAAUGGAGAGCUCUUUUUUUCCCUCUACAUGCUCUUCCCUCCCUCCUUCUAUGAUCUAUCAAGUUUGUGACUCUGCACACUUAGUCUUUUCUCUGUAGCCAGGCAUAAAAUAGUUUGCAGAAACGAAUGCCUUAACUUAUGUUCCCAAUUCUCUGCACAUUGUAUCAAAAAGGUUUCUAGACAUAUCCAUGAUCUAUUUGAUUCUUUCUCUUUUAUUUUUCCAGAGCUUUAAGGUUUUAUAUGCUCAGAUUCUUAUGCUCUUUAAAGAAAAAUAUAAUCUAUUACACCUACCACUUUGGUUCAACUAAUCUAUAACGUCUGGUAGCAGCUUAGCUUGCAGGUCAUCCAAAGAACAAUGAAAAAAUUAAAAGUGCAGCCCAGUGAAGACUUUUCUUAAGCCUUCUUUAGCCGUCGUGUGCACUAUGCCCUCCAAAUAUGAAGACUAUUCUCUCCUUAUUUUUUUUUCUUUGUAGGUGACAUGAAGUGGGCACCAUGAGAUUUCAUGUGUGGCCACGAGGUGGCAGUGGUUCCAUUUCCCUCAUUGCAUGAAUGCCUUAAAUUUCAAAAGCUUGAAAGUUACCAAGGGCUUGCAUUGAUUGGCUGAGUCACCAACAGAAUGGUUCUCUUGUGCACUGGAAAACAAGAACUAAGACACAGAAACAGCUCUUCUGAGAAAAGAAGGUUUGGAAUCACAAAUUGUAUCAAGACUGAGGUGUCAGGAUGGAGAAAAUGCUGAAAUAUGCAUUGAUAGUCUUGUGCCUUCAGUUUGGCUGGUCAACUGGAAAAGACCAAGUGGAACAGAGUCCUCGGGCACUGAUACUCCAGGAGGGAGACAAUGUCAGCCUCAACUGCAGUUACUCAGUCAGCAAAUUUGGAGGCCUACAGUGGUAUAAGCAAGAUCCUGGGAAUGGUCCUGACCUCCUCUUCCUCCUGUAUUCAGUUGGGGAUGAAGAGCAGAAAGAGAGACUUAGAGGCACAUUAUCAAAAAAGGAAAGUUCCCUGCACAUCACAGCCUCUAAACCUGAAGACUCAGCCACUUACCUCUGUGCUGUGGACACAGUGCUCCCCCAGCACCUGUAGCCUGUACGAAAACCAUACAGCUGGGGCCCUUGAAUAAAUGGCAGAGGCAUCUCUGUGUCUUUUCUCCUCAGAGGAAGGAGUGUUUAAUCAGCACCUAGAUCCUCUUACCAAGGGGUCCUAUGGAGAAUAAAGGCUUGUGACAUGGCCAGAGAACAAAGAUGUGUAAAUGCACAUUACUGUUCAUUCUGUCCAGGUAUCUCUGACAGUCCCCUUGUGCAUCAUGCUAAUGAGAGUUCUAGUUACUGUAUAUCUUCACCAAGAAAUGGUAUCAGGUGUGGUGUUGUUUUUAACCAUUCUGGUGAUAUGUAGUGUUAUAUCAUUCUGGUUUUAAUUUGCUGAGCAUCUUUUCAUGUAUUCAUUGACUAUCUGGAUAUUAUUUUCUGUUCAGUGCCUGUUCAAGUUUUUUGCUUCUUUUUUAGUUGGGAUAUUUGUCAUUUAUCAAUCAUUUGUAGGUGUUCUUUAUAUACUCUGCAUAUGAGCCCUUGUCAAAAAUAUAGAUUGUGAAUUUUUCACUAAACAAUUGCUUGAUUAUUCACUUUUAAAAUGAUGUCCUUUAAUGUACAAAAGUCCCUAAUUUUAAUAAAGUUCAACGAAUCAAUUUUUUUCUUCUAUGGUUAGUAUGU